rnacentral:lncRNA from 12 species
ACUUGCCCAAUGCCGUUCUGUCUCUGCUUCUGCUUCUGCCUGAAAUGCCUCUUUCCCUUCAUCCACCCAGCAAAUUCACACUUACUCUUUAAGGAUCAGAUGAACUGUAUUCAACCUGCCUGAGAACUUUUCCUGUGCUUUGAAGGAGACUUCCUUGCCCUUACCAUGUGAGGUCUGGUGUUGACACAUGAUGAAAGUGCACUGGGCAGGGAGGCCUCCCCUUGGCUGCCUGUGUGCGGUGCUCCCUGGGCUGGCCGUACCUGAUGCAGGCUCAGCCCGCUCCUUGUUCUCUGCUCCUCUCUCACUGCCUGUCUCACAGUGCGCAGCCCGACUGGCCCACAAACCCCGACUGAGGCCAUGAAGCAGCAAGAUGGGUUGUUUGCCCUCAGUCACACGCCAUCAAGUCUGGGCAUGGUCACCGUGUAAUUUCAUGAGAUGACUGAAAUCAUAAAACGAUUUUAACUUUAUUUCAUUUUCUUUCAUUUAUUCAUUUAGCUUGAUCAUCUACACAAUCUAAAAGUAUUUGGGGUCAGGAGAGCUGAGAGGACGAUUAAUUCAACAACCAUCAAGGCAUAUGACAGCCCUCAAGGCAGCUCGGAGCCGCUCCACUCACCAGCUGCUUCUGGACGCAUUUGCCAAGUUGCCAGACAUUGUGGAAAGAGCAGUUGCUUCCCAUAUGACAUCUGUGAUAUCAGGCCACAUGAAGAUCUCAACAUCUAUUCUCUGUGCUUAGUAUACUGCUGGCUACCUGAAAGAAGGUGAGCUGUUGGCUACCUGAAAGAAGGGGAUCCCAGAAGAACCAGAUCUACCUUAGCCCUAGAUGUGAAUGAUGUGUGGGAGAAAAGUCAAGCAGCAAACUAGACCCCUAAGGCACGGCUGUCUUCAACUCCAGUGCUUCAGGCACAUGUAUGUGUUUGCCGGAUGCCUCUGCGCCCAGAAGCACUUCACCUACCAGGAGCCAGGGUCAAACAGGUUUGGAUCCCUGACCUCAUGGAAGACAGUUCCCGCUGGUCAUCCAUAGACCUGAGGAUGGUCGUCUCUUCUCCAGCUUCACUCUUCAGAGGCGGGGAUAGUGUCCUAUUCAUCUUUGUAUCCUGACAGCCCUUUGCACAAGAUCUGGCCUCUAGUAGGUAAGUGACCCAUAAAACGAUCUUACUGUGGAGAAGAGAUGCUGCAUUCCAGGAAGGCAACCUCUGGAAGUGCAGGUGGCCCCUGAUUGACCGGCUGGUACUUUAUCUCUCUGAUAAGGUCUCUUCUUGCUCUUUAGCCUGAACUCAGCCUCUGCUAUCAGAGGUUUAUGAGUUACUGUAAAAUCACUGGGGAAUCUUGGAGAGCUGUUGGUGAGGGCUGUGUGCUUCAAGAAGGUCUAGGGGACGCUGGUGAUCCAGUACUUACCGGGAAUAGAUGUCUCACUGCAGCCAACAUACGUUUUCUGAGCUACUAAUCUGAACAAUCCAUGCUCAUAUUUACAACUGUUUACAGACAAUAUUUCUUAGGAUAAAACAUAAACCAAUUAAUAUCCUGACCAGGACAUGCAUUAAAUAAACUGCUGAUUUUUUCCA